UAGGGAAUCUUCCACAAUGGGUGAAAGCCUGAUGGAGCAACGCCGCGUGUGUGAUGAAGGGUUUCGGCUCGUAAAACACUGUUGUAAGAGAAGAAUGACAUUGAGAGUAACUGUUCAAUGUGUGACGGUAUCUUACCAGAAAGGAACGGCUAAAUACGUGACAG
rnacentral:rRNA from 1 species